CCUACGGGAGGCAGCAGUGGGGAAUAUUGGGCAAUGGGCGCAAGCCUGACCCAGCAACGCCGCGUGAAGGAAGAAGGCUUUCGGGUUGUAAACUUCUUUUCUCAGGGACGAAGAAAGUGACGGUACCUGAGGAAUAAGCCACAGCUAACUACGUGCCAGCAGCCGCGGUAAUACGUAGGUGGCAAGCGUUAUCCGGGUUUAGUGGGUGUAAAGGGCGUGUAGGCGGGAGCGCAAGUCAGAGGGAAAAACUCAGGGCUCAACCCUGAGCCUGCAUUUGAAACUGUGUUUCUUGGGUGCUGGGGAGGAAAUCGGAAUUCCGUGUGUAGCGGUGAAAUGCGUAGAUAUACGGAGGAACACCAGUGGCAAGGGCGGAUUGUUGGACAGUAACUGACGCUGAGGCGCGAAGGCGUGGGAGCAAACAGGAUUAGAUACCCGAGUAGUC
rnacentral:rRNA from 1 species